rnacentral:rRNA from 1 species
UACGUAGGGGGCAAGCGUUGUCCGGAUUUAUUGGGCGUAAAGAGCGUGUAGGCGGUUCGGUAGGUCCGUUGUGAAAACUCGAGCUCAACCUCGAGACGCCGAUGGAAACCCUCGAACUAGAGUCCGGAAGAGGAGAAUGGAAUUCCUGGUGUAGCGGUGAAAAUGCGCAGAUAUCAGGAAGAACACCCGUGGCUAAGGCGGUUCUCUAGUACGGUACUGACGCUGAGACGCGAAAGCGUGGGGGAGCGAACAGG